rnacentral:lncRNA from 1 species
CAGAUCUUUAUCCGUGUGGUAGAUCUUUUGAUCCUUUUUACCUCUUUCCUGCAUUUUAUCGCUUUCUUAGCUGGAAGACCUCGAUAGGAGGCAAUGUUUUCUUUUGUUUAUUUACUUUUAUGCUAAAGACCUCCACGAAGAUGCAAUUGACGGAUAAAAGGGAUUAGUAGUCAAUCCCCCGUUAUUCAGUGUGUCGUUCUUUAUGCUCACACUACGUGUC